UAUCUCCCUUAUAGUGCAUCUAGUGGAUUCUAAGUUUUGGCGUCUUCAACUAUACUCUCGUCUAAUCAACCAGUAUGCAAUCCAACUGCGCAGGCGUGGCUGUGUGGUAAGAAAUUUGCUUCCCAACCGCAUGGUUCCGCAGUCCCAUUGCGUAACAAUUUGGGCAAGUGUCUUCUACUAUAGCCUUGGACCGACCAAAGUCUUGUGAGUGGAUUUGGUAGCCGGAAACUGUAAGAAGCCUGUCACUGCAGCCAUGCUGGAGCACCACCUUAAAGGGUUUUAGUUGAAGAAAUCAAACCCAGGAUUUAUUCUUUGUUCUAUAUGUGACUGUUUAAUCAUGCCAUAUACAAAAGAAGCCUUGGAACUGUCUGAAUUUCAAAGAGGCCAUAUUGUGGGUUAUUCUGAAGGUAGACAUUGCGUAAAAUCCCACUUUCUACAGUCAAUAGAGUGAUCGUGCAGUUCACCAGCGACAGGAAGGAGUCCACAUCACCUCACCCAGAUCAACCAGGUCCCUCUGACAGGACCCUUCUCUUUGCUAAGAAAUGUGUGGAGGAUAAUCCUCAUUGCAGGGCCUCUGACAUAGCAGAACAAGUUGAUGUCAGUCCCAGAACGUCUGUUAAGUAUCUCCACAAACUUAGUUACUAUGACAGAGUAGCAAGAAAGAAGCCACUUCUUCGACCAGCCAAUAUCUAGUGGAGAAAAAUUGGGCCAGCGAGAUAGUGGAGAGGCCACUAGCAUUUUGGAACCUUGUCAUAUUUUCUGAUGAGUUCAGAUUUGCUGUGUUUCCUGACAGUGGUCGAGUGUGGCUCUAGAGACUCUGUGAUCAAAGAAUUUGAUGUGAAAAAAUUGCAGCCAACAAUGAAACAUGGCAGCUAUUCUGUGAUGGUCAUAAACUGAGAUAAAUAUAUGUUCACAUUGCAGAAAGAACUCUUUCCAAUCUUCUCCAGUUGUGAAAUGAUUAAAGAAGACUCUUUAUUUAUGGGAGAUGGGGCUCCUUGUCACUUUUUUUCUUUUCUUUUCCUUUCCUCUUCUCUCUUUUUCCCUCUUUCUUGAUUUACCCCUGAC